ACCCACAGUCUCAUUUUCUCAAGUUUCAAGCAGUACCAUUCUCUCUCGCCACUCUCUCUCGACUCCGGUCAGCGGCCGCCAUGAAUCGCCGCCUCCCUCUGGCGCGACGAGGUCGGCGCAUGUUCUUCCUCCUCCUCUCCUUCCCUUUUGUGCCCUAUUUCUUCCCGAAGAACUAAAUCCCCAAUUUCUAGGGUUUUCAGCCUCCCUUUCCUCUCUGAAUUUCGCGAACCCUAGGCAACAUAAUCCGCGUCGCUUGCCACGCUCUAUCCCCAAUCUCGCUACCCCUAUCGUCUUCGCUAACCCUAGGCACCGUGUCCCUCCGGUUGUGGCCCCUGUCCUCCUAACCCUAGGUUUCGCGCCCCCAUCUCGCCUGUCGGCUGCCUGGUUCCCGCUGCGCCGCUUCGUCUUCUCUCCGUCGCGCCGCUUCGUCUUCUCUCCGCCGAGCAUUUUUGGUUUUUUUCCAGGAUCAGGUCCGUAAUUUAUCCUGAGCAUGUCUUAUUACUCAGUAAUCGACCACUGGAAUAUGUAACUUCAUGGUGUGCGUGCUCAUGCUUGUAAGUGCCAUGCUUCUAAUUUAGUUCCCUAAAAUUGCAUUGUAUUGCCUUGUGGUCACUACUCUGUUUCGUUGGUAUGGAUUAUUGCUUUCCUCUUCUCCAAGAAGAAUGAUUUGGUCCUUAUUAAUUGGCAUUAUUAUAUUUUCUAGUUUUUUUGCUGCAAUCUGCAAAGAAUAUUGGUUUGAGUUAGCAUUUGAUAUAGUAGAUUUGGUUCCUGAUUGGGUUUCAAUCUUUUAAUAGUUUUUCUUGUGGAUGAUCUGUGAAAAUAUACUAGGGCUUAGUGACUCACUGUCUAUUGACUGAUUUUAUUUUUGUGUCAAAUUUGGUGUAAGACCAUUUAAUAUCCUUCCUAUUGUCUUUGCCAUUAUGCUGAAUUUUCUAGAAUAAAGAGUCCACACCAGUACCACCACAUUUCAGUUUUAGUGGUUCAUAGGGUAAAACUAUACUCUGCAGAUCCUUAGAAGGUCGGAUGAAGCGUUCUGUUUUUGUCUGAUGGUUCGUCAAAACCAAAAUGUUUAUUAGCUCAUCCUUCUCUUACUUGCAGCAUUGGGAAUUUUUUCUUUGCUGGAGCUCAGAUAUUCUUUCAGUCUCUAGAUGCUGCAAUUUUCUUGUUUUCACGUGUCUCACAAAUUCCUACAGAAAGCCCGGUGCUACCAGUUAUAUCCACAAAUGAUAGGCUUACCUUGGUGCUUCUCUUUUUUUAUGGUAAAUGUAGAGAGAUAAGGUUAAAGAUACUGUUGGUAAUGGCCUGUGUGAAUGGAUGAUGGACACAAGGUUUCUACACAAAAAAUUCUAAAAUUUAUAGUAUUUUAUAAAGUUAAAUUAGUUGGUUGUCUUUUAUUUUCAAGAUAAUAAC
rnacentral:lncRNA from 1 species